rnacentral:rRNA from 1 species
UACGUAGGGGGCGAGCGUUGUCCGGAAUUAUUGGGCGUAAAGAGCGUGUAGGCGGUUCGGUAAGUCUGCCGUGAAAACUCGAGGCUUAACCUCGAGACGUCGGUGGAAACCAUCCAGCUAGAGUCCGGAAGAGGAGAGUGGAAUUCCUGGUGUAGCGGUGAAAUGCGCAGAUAUCAGGAAGAACACCCGUGGCGAAAGCGGCUCUCUGGGACGGUACUGACGCUGAGACGCGAAAGCGUGGGGAGCGAACAGG